rnacentral:rRNA from 1 species
AAAACCAGGGUUGUGAUGCCCUUAGAUGUUCUGGGCCCGCACGCGCGCUACACUGACGGAGCCAGCGAGUAAUUCCUUGGCCGGAAGGCCCGGGUAAUCUUGUUAAACUCCGUCGUGCUGGGGAUAGAGCAUUGCAAUUAUUGCUCUUCAACGAGGAAUCCCUAGUAAGCGCAAGUCAUCAGCUUGCGUUGAUUACGUCCCUGCCCUUUGUACACACCGCCCGUCGCUACUACCGAUUGAAUGGCUCAGUUGAGGCGUCCGGACUGGCCCAGGGAGGUGGGCAACUACCACCCAGGGCCGGAAAGCUCUCCAAACUCGGUCAUUUAGAGGAAGUAAAAGUCGUAACAAGGUCUCCGUUGGUGAACCAGCGGAGGGAUCAUUACCGAGUUAUCCAACUCCCAACCCCUGUGAAUUAUACCUUUAAUUGUUGCUUCGGCGGGACUUCGCGCCCGCCGGGGACCCAAACCUUCUGAAUUUUUUAAUAAGUAUCUUCUGAGUGGUUAAAAAAAUGAAUCAAAACUUUCAACAACGGAUCUCUUGGUUCUGGCAUCGAUGAAGAACGCAGCGAAAUGCGAUAAGUAAUGUGAAUUGCAGAAUUCAGUGAAUCAUCGAAUCUUUGAACGCACAUUGCGCCCGUCAGUAUUCUGGCGGGCAUGCCUGUUCGAGCGUCAUUACGCCCCUCAAGUCCCCUGUGGACUUGGUGUUGGGGAUCGGCGAGGCUGGUUAUUCCAGCGCAGCCGUCCCUCAAAUCAAUUGGCGGUCUCGCCGUGGCCCUCCUCUGCGCAGUAGUAAAACACUCGCAACAGGAGCCCGGCGCGGUCCACUGCCGUAAAACCCCCCAACUUUUUAUAGUUGACCUCGAAUCAGGUAGGACUACCCGCUGAACUUAAGCAUAUCAAUAAGCGGAGGAAAAGAAACCAACAGGGAUUGCCCCAGUAACGGCGAGUGAAGCGGCAACAGCUCAAAUUUGAAAUCUGGUCCCCAGGGCCCGAGUUGUAAUUUGCAAGAGGAUGCUUUUGGUGAGGUGCCUUCCGAGUUCCCUGGAACGGGACGCCAUAGAGGGUGAGAGCCCCGUCUGGUUGGAUACCGAGCCUCUGUAAAGCUCCUUCGACGAGUCGAGUAGUUUGGGAAUGCUGCUCUAAAUGGGAGGUAUAUGUCUUCUAAAGCUAAAUAUUGGGCCAGAGACCUAACCGCCACCCAA